rnacentral:lncRNA from 1 species
AAUAUUUAUUAAUUUCAAAAUGUAGUGAGAAGAUACAUAAUUACAUUUGCUUAGCUGCCUUUCACUGUCUAUGCAUUGCUGGCAGUUGUUGAAUACAAAAGUGUGAAAUGACGCAUAUUACAUGAUUCUGGCGAUUGUUGCGUAUGUAUGUGCAGUUGUACAUAAUAGAUCCUGAAUAUUAUAGUUCAAGAAGAAAAUGUAUUGGUAAUCAGCAAUUUCAAAAUUUCCUUAACAUAAAAUUUCAAAGAAAUAUGCGUUUAAAAUAAAAUUUUCGAAUUUCUUUCUUCAAAGACCAACAUUAAUGGAAUAAAAAGGUUUUCUAAUAGCUAUUACGUCUUCCUCUUGGUGACUUGCAUUUAGGCCCGGAUCUAGGAACCGCGAGACAUCUCUACCAGAAUGGACAAGCAAUCAGAAGACUCCUGCGAACGUGGCCACAAGAUUUGUUAUAACAAUGAAAUAAACCUAUAAGACGAUGCACCAUUGGAUGCCUCUGCUUCCUUGCUUAAAAAUUCAUUCAAAUUUACUUUAAACUCUUAUGUAUAAGUUGAUUGUAAAUAAUAGUUCAAAAGAAAAAAAUGUUUAUGAGCAAAAAAA